AGAGUUUGAUUCUGGCUCAGGAUGAACGCUGGCGGCAUGCCUAACACAUGCAAGUCGAACGGGGUUUAUAUGACGGAACUCUCCGGAGGGAAGAUAUAUAAACCUAGUGGCGGACGGGUGAGUAACGCGUGGGCAACCUGCCCUGUACCGGGGGACAACAGCCAGAAAUGGCUGCUAAUACCGCAUAAGCCUGCUGUGCCGCAUGGCACAGCAGGGAAAACCACGGUGGUACAGGAUGGGCCCGCGUCUGAUUAGUUAGUUGGCAGGGUAACGGCCUACCAAGACAACGAUCAGUAGCCGGCUUGAGAGAGUGGACGGCCACAUUGGGACUGAGACACGGCCCAGACUCCUGCGGGAGGCAGCAGUGGGGAAUAUUGCACAAUGGGGGGAACCCUGAUGCAGCAAUGCCGCGUGGGUGAAGAAGCACUCCGGUGCGUAAAGCCCUGUCAGCAGGGAAGAAAAUGACAGUACCUGGACAAGAAGCCCCGGCUAACUACGUGCCAGCAGCCGCGGUAAUACGUAGGGGGCAAGCGUUAUCCGGAUUUACUGGGUGUAAAGGGAGC
rnacentral:rRNA from 1 species